rnacentral:rRNA from 1 species
UACGUAUGGUGCAAGCGUUAUCCGGAUUUACUGGGCGUGAAGGGAGCGCAGGCGGCGCGCCAAGUCUGAUGUGAGACCCCGGGGCUCGACCCCGGGCAUGCAUUGGAAACUGGCGGGCUGGAGUGCCGGAGAGGUAAGCGGAAUUCCUAGUGUAGCGGUGAAAUGCGUAGAUAUUAGGAGGAACACCAGUGGCGAAGGCGGCUUACUGGACGGCAACUGACGCUGAGGCUCGAAAGCGUGGGGAGCAAACAGG